CACUCCUACGGGAGGCAGCAGUGGGGAAUUUUGGACAAUGGGCGAAAGCCUGAUCCAGCCAUGCCGCGUGCAGGAUGAAGGCCUUCGGGUUGUAAACUGCUUUUGUACGGAACGAAACGGCCUUUUCUAAUAAAGAGGGCUAAUGACGGUACCGUAAGAUUAAGCACCGGCUAACUACGUGCCAGCAGCCGCGGUAAUACGUAGGGUGCAAGCGUUAAUCGGAAUUACUGGGCGUAAAGCGUGCGCAGGCGGUUAUGUAAGACAGUUGUGAAAUCCCCGGGCUCAACCUGGGAACUGCAUCUGUGACUGCAUAGCUAGAGUACGGUAGAGGGGGAUGGAAUUCCGCGUGUAGCAGUGAAAUGCGUAGAUAUGCGGAGGAACACCGAUGGCGAAGGCAAUCCCCUGGACCUGUACUGACGCUCAUGCACGAAAGCGUGGGGAGCAAACAGGAUUAGAUACCCGGGUAGUCCCAUG
rnacentral:rRNA from 1 species